rnacentral:rRNA from 1 species
GUAGGUGGCAAGCGUUGUCCGGAAUUAUUGGGCGUAAAGCGCGCGCAGGCGGUUUUUUAAGUCUGAUGUGAAAGCCCACGGCUCAACCGUGGAGGGUCAUUGGAAACUGGAGAACUUGAGUGCAGAAGAGGAGAGCGGAAUUCCACGUGUAGCGGUGAAAUGCGUAGAGAUGUGGAGGAACACCAGUGGCGAAGGCGGCUCUCUGGUCUGUAACUGACGCUGAGGCGCGAAAGCGUGGGGGGAGCAAACAGGAUUAGAUACCCUGGUAGUCCACGCCGUAAACGAUGAGUGCUAAGUGUUAGAGGGUUUCCCCGCCUUUAGUGCUGCAGCAAACGCAUUAAGCACUCCGCCUGGGAGUACGGUCGCAAGACUG